AGUUUACAGAGUAAAAAGGUUCAAUGCUUGUAAAUGCAGUAAACCACGUGACCGAUGACAAACGAUGCCUCUUCUUCUUCUUCUUAUAAUGGCGGUUGGCAAACAACUGAAGGAGGCAUUACCGCCACCAACUGGAAGUUUCCAAGGUGGUAUUGUAGGUAACGGAACUGAAACAACUGAAGGAGGCCUUACCGCCACCAACUGGGUUUGGUCUACUUUCAACAUAAGAUCUGGAACAAGGAAAGUGGCAGAAAUGGCGAGAUCUUUUCUGGAGGAGCCUUGAGAUGUUGGAGCCCAAAUACUCCCCAGAAAUCUCCAUCAGGAGAGUUUGAUCACACUGAGAUUAGAUGUCAGUAAUUUAUCUCAAUAAUAUUCUCAAUUCUUGUCUUGUUUGUAUAAUAUACAGGUCCUUCUCAAAAUAUU